AUCCAGAUGACGAGUCCAGAAUAGGACGAAAUGCGCAUUGUCCUGGAA
rnacentral:hammerhead_ribozyme from 1 species